rnacentral:rRNA from 1 species
UACAGAGGUCUCAAGCGUUGUUCGGAUUCACUGGACUUAAAGGGCGCGUAGGCGGUCGGCCAAGUCUGGGGUGAAAUCUUUCGGCUCAACCGGAAAAGUGCCCCCGAUACUGGCCGUCUAGAGGGAGGUAGGGGCAUGUGGAACUUCCGGUGGAGCGGUGAAAUGCGUAGAUAUCGGAAGGAACGCCGGUGGCGAAAGCGACGUGCUGGACCUCAUCUGACGCUGAGGCGCGAAAGCCAGGGGAGCAAACGGG